UACAGAGGGUGCAAGCGUUAAUCGGAAUUACUGGGCGUAAAGCGCACGUAGGUGGAUAAGUAAGUUGGAUGUGAAAUCCCCGGGCUCAACCUGGGAAUUGCAUUCAAAACUGCUUUUCUAGAGUAUAGUAGAGGGGAGUGGAAUUUCCGGUGUGCGGUGAAAUGCGUAGAUAUCGGAAGGAACACCAGUGGCGAAGGCGACUCCCUGGACUAAUACUGACACUG
rnacentral:rRNA from 1 species